rnacentral:rRNA from 1 species
AUGGAGAUAAGGGCUGAAGGGGAGGGGGUGAACAAAAAAAUAUUCAAGUUCUUCGUCCAUAAGUCCUCCGGUGUGCGAUUUACAAACAAAGAUGAUGUAGAGGCCUUUGAAAAAAUAGUACGAGUGCCAAAGAUGCCACUGCCAUCCAAAGAAGAUGGGUCUAAACAAGAUGUGUCUAAACAAGACGUGCUGCUCUUUGAAGAACCAAUAAAAAAGAGGAAGACCCCCAGAGCCUGCAAAGACCCAGACGCAGUAGAGUGCGACACGAGCUCUCAGGAUAACAUGAUUGCACAGCUUGACUUCUAUACCGAGCGUUUGUCCGCUGGAUGGGUGAAGGAAACCUACUUCAGACCAGACGACAAAAAAAAGAAAGACACGUAUUUUACCGACCCUUCUAGUUCUGAGUAUCUCGUGUUCCGUACGAAGAAGGAUGCAACGAAAUACUUCUGGACUGGACAACGUCCUAAAGAUUCCUGGAAACCGACACAGAGUGUCACCAAGAAGUACAAAGACUUGCUUGUUACAGAUGCAGAUGAAAAAGACCUAGUUGGUCAGCAUGAGCCCAAGGAAAAGAAGCCUAAGACUACAAGCACCGAAGCCGACGAGGCAAUGACCUGCUCACAGGUUAGACUGCUAGGAAUCAAUCAAGGCCAAGAGAAAAAUUGA